rnacentral:misc_RNA from 1 species
UCUCCGUUGGUGAACCAGCGGAGGGAUCAUUACCGAGUUUACAACUCCCAAACCCAAUGUGAACGUUACCAAACUGUUGCCUCGGCGGGGUCACGCCCCGGUUGCGUCGCAGCCCCGGAGCCAGGCGCCCGCCGGAGGAACCAACCAAACUCUUUCUGUAGUCCCCUCGCGGACGUUAUUUCUUACAGCUCUGAGCAAAUAUUCAAAAUGAAUCAAAACUUUCAACAACGGAUCUCUUGGCUCUC